GAUGAAGAACGUAGCGAAUUGCGAUAAGUAAUGUGAAUUGCAGAUUUUCAGUGAAUCAUCGAAUCUUUGAACGCACCUUGCGCUCCUUGGUAUUCCGAGGAGCAUGCCUGUUUGAGUGUCAUUAAAUUCUCAACCUCACCCGUUUUCUGAACGGUUCUCCGAGGCUUGGAUGUGGGGGUUUGUGCAGGCUGCCUCAGCGCGGUCUGCUCCCCUGAAAUGCAUUAGCGAGUUCGUACUGAGCUCCGUCUAUUGGUGUGAUAAUUAUCUACGCCGUGGACAGGGUUUAGACUCGCUUCUAACCGUCCGCAAGGACAAUACCUUUGACAAUUUGACCUCAAAUCAGGUAGGACUACCCGCUGAACUUAAGCAUAUCAAUAAGCGGAGGA
rnacentral:misc_RNA from 1 species